UACAACUUUCAGCAACGGAUCUCUUGGCUCUCGCAUCGAUGAAGAACGCAGCGAAAUGCGAUAAGUAAUGUGAAUUGCAGAAUUCAGUGAAUCAUCGAAUCUUUGAACGCACCUUGCGCUCCUUGGUACUCCGAGGAGCAUGCCUGUUUGAGUGUCAUG
rnacentral:rRNA from 1 species